AGAGUUGAACACUGGAUGACUGACAGCUGUCCUUCAUGACAACAGAAGACACAGAAAUCCUCCUCAUCAAAAACAUGACUUUGAUCUCCGUCCUCAUCUGGACUCUCCUCUGCUGCUGCUUCACAGAGUCCAGAGGCCAGGUCACAGUGACUCAGUCUGGAGCAGUGAGCUCUGCUCUAGGACGCUCCGUCACCAUCACAUGUAGGACCAGUCAGAAUGUUUAUAGCUCCGAUCGUUUAGCCUGGUACCAACAGAGAGAUGGAGAAAUUCCUAAACUGCUCAUUUAUGCUGCUAGCACUCGAGCAUCAGGGAUUCCAAUGUACAUCCCUAUUGUAAGAACAAUGAUAAUGUCACUGACUCUACUGCUGGCCACCCUGGGGCUCCUUGUUCAGGAUUCAUCAGGAGAAAUCAUCCUGACUCAGUCUCCUAAAGCUCAGUCUGUUGUUCCAGGACAGACUGUCUCUGUCAGAUGUAAAGCCAGUUCAAGUGCUGGUACUUGUCUUAACUGGUACCUUCAGAAACCUGGAGAAUCGCCCAAACUCUUGAUUUAUUAUUCUACAAGCCGUCAGUCUGGAGUUUCAGGUCGUUUUAGUGGAAGUGGAUCUGGAACUGACUUCACUCUGACCAUCAGUGGAGUUCAGACUGAAGAUGCAGGAGAUUAUUACUGUCAGCAAUGUAACAGCUGGCCAUUCACACAGUGA